rnacentral:rRNA from 1 species
AUUGAACGCUGGCGGCAGGCCUAACACAUGCAAGUCGAACGGUAACAGGAAGAAGCUUGCUUCUUUGCUGACGAGUGGCGGACGGGUGAGUAAUGUCUGGGAAACUGCCUGAUGGAGGGGGAUAACUACUGGAAACGGUAGCUAAUACCGCAUAACGUCGCAAGACCAAAGAGGGGGACCUUCGGGCCUCUUGCCAUCGGAUGUGCCCAGAUGGGAUUAGCUAGUAGGUGGGGUAACGGCUCACCUAGGCGACGAUCCCUAGCUGGUCUGAGAGGAUGACGAGCCACACUGGAACUGAGACACGGUCCAGACUCCUACGGGAGGCAGCAGUGGGGAAUAUUGCACAAUGGGCGCAAGCCUGAUGCAGCCAUGCCGCGUGUAUGAAGAAGGCCUUCGGGUUGUAAAGUACUUUCAGCGGGGAGGAAGGGAGUAAAGUUAAUACCUUUACUCAUUGACGUUACCCGCAGAAGAAGCACCGGCUAACUCCGUG